AGCUUACCUCCCCAUGGAAAAUGCUGCAUUAAGUCUGUGUACAGUAAAUACACUAAGUCCUUUGAGCAAGAACUACUCUAACUUAAUAUAAAAACACACAAGUUCGCACGAGGACUUUAAAGAAUCAAUGGAAGUUCCUUGUAAAAGCAUGUCCAGUUUUUGAACAAUUCAUCACUCCUGUGGUGGUUAAUGAUGUCACUAAG
rnacentral:lncRNA from 1 species